CGGAGGGUGCAAGCGUUGUCCGGAUUUAUUGGGUUUAAAAGGGUGCGUAGGCGGCCUUUUAAGUCAGUGGUGAAAGACCAACAGCUCAACUGUUGAACUGCCAUUGAUACUGAAAGGCUUGAGUACAGACGAGGUAGGCGGAAUUGAAGAUGUAGCGGUGAAAUGCAUAGAUAUCUUCAAGAACACCGAUUGCGUAGGCAGCUUACUAGGCUGUAACUGACGCUGAGGCACGAAAGCGUGGGGAGCGAACAGGAUU
rnacentral:rRNA from 1 species